rnacentral:lncRNA from 1 species
CUCCUUGUCCUGUCUCUAUUCUGAUAGGUUGCACACUUCAUUUCCUGCACCAUUCUCAGAUUGCAUUCCAGCGUUUACCAUGGUGACCGUGAUAAGAGGGGCGAGGAAUGAGUGGGAGCCGUGUGCGCAGACAUGGUGUCAUUAGGACAAGCCUGACACCUGUGUGUAAUCAGAGACAGGUGGACCCUUCUUGCCAUUUCUAUAAGGGGUUAUACUGAUUGCCAGAAUCAUCACUCAGCACAAGUGAUUACUAUUUUUGUAACAUCUGCACCAUCAACAACCUGUCUGCCAAUGAGAACUGUGUGCGUCAGCUGGAUCACAGGUUAACACACCUGAGCCCAAGUGUGUGUUGAGUGGCAGGUCCAAUGUUUUCACAAUCAUAGCAUCUGCUUCACUUACAGCAUCUAGCAUCGCUCUCUAUGUUUGACCGCAUGUUUAUUUCUUUUCAUCCCCUCACACUGACUCAUGAAAUAAUUGCUGCUCUUAUGCAUGUAACUAUAACAAUUGUGCUCUGAGUGUCAUAGACUGUUUUUACAACCAUAACAUCUGGUUUGAGGGUUUAUGCUGUUGUUUGUGCACAGAUGGGUCAUUUAAGUCAAAUAAAACAAAAACAAUGCAUAAAAAACACAACUAUAAACCUUAAAUUGUUUGUUUGGUUCAGUUUGAUCAUUCCUUGUUUAAUCAGGC